UACGUAGGGGGCUAGCGUUGUCCGGAAUCAUUGGGCGUAAAGCGCACGUAGGCGGCCCGGUAAGUCCGUUGUGAAAGUCAGAGGCUCAACCUCUGGAGGCCAAUGGAUACUGCCGGGCUAGAGUCCGGAAGAGGCGAGUGGAAUUCCUGGUGUAGCGGUGGAAUGCGCAGAUAUCAGGAGGAACACCAAUGGCGAAGGCAGCUCGCUGGGACGGUACUGACGCUGAGGUGCGAAAGCGUGGGGAGCGAACAGG
rnacentral:rRNA from 1 species